rnacentral:misc_RNA from 1 species
UUAUAGCAGUGCGCAACGAGUGAAAGAUCGCGGACUAUCCACCUUAAUUAUAAUUGGGUUUUCACUAAGAUAAUUUGCACACAAGAUGUGAUGAAAAAGAAGCUCAAUUACCGCUUUUAUGAAGAAAAGUAGUUUUGAAACAUUUCAUAUUUGUUGAAUUGUUUUAAUAUGUAGAUACUUUGCACACAGGAUGUGAGAAGUUCGUUAAAGCUUUAGAGCGUAGACAUCAAACUUUGGAAUACGCUUUUUAAGCCUUGAAAGAAUUACGUGACUCUUUAAUAAACCUUUCGGUGGUACAAGACAAUAGCGGGUUUUCUAGACUGAGCUAAGAAAACACCGACCAGACAAUCAAAAUCCAGUUACUGGCCAGACAAAGACAUUAUUAUGAUUCAUACCUAAUAGGAUAUCCUACCUUUCAUAUAAGAUUUAUUUUAUGUCGACCUGUGUCUUUUUAAAAAAACAUAUGUUGCAAAGUAAGCGUCCUUAAAGAAUCAUCAAAUUAAAAAAAAACCGCAAAACAUAAUAAAAAAGGAUAAGAAAUGGCAGGAUAUCACUGAUGACAGCAUGGACGGAAGCAUGCCAGAAUGGUGACGUCAGUGUCAACGUAAUGUCCUUUGAACAACUUCAGAACACAAAGUGA